CUCGACUGGUGCGUAUAAAAGCUCAGUAUUAUUCAGAAUUGGCCAAUAUAUCGAAAAUAGAUAUCUUCUUCAGGCACACCUCUCUUUUUUAAAAAACCACAGUCCUAUAAGUAAAAAAAAACUAUAUUGAUAUUACGUUUACUUUACACAGUCGUGUAUGUAAAAUCCUUUGGUCCUUUGGACACGCUCAAAGUAAAAUUCUACCUAAAUAGUUUGACUAUUUACAAAAAAAAAUAGAAAGUGAGCUCAAUUAGAGGUAAAUUCAUUUAACCAUUCAAUGUAUAGUGUCCCAUAUAUAUAUAUAUAACUGGUGAGGCAAAAGUUUAACUACCAUUUUGAUAUCAUCAUCGUCCAGUGCCACACAAAACCAUCGUUUACAUGAAAGUUAUCGACAAUACGGUAUGACAGCAGACAUACCUCGUUCUGGAAGACAACGCACAUUUGGACUCAAAAUUGCCGAUAUCAACAAUGCCAACGUCACAUGAUAACUCUUUAUAAGACCCUUGGACAAUGAACAGAGCAAGCAUAUCCCGUUUAGCUUUUUAUCCACUCACAUCCUGGACUAGCAAAGUAGGAAAUGAAAAAUUUGAAAAAAACAUAAGUUAAAAGCUGAAAUUAGCAUUCUGCAUUUUUCUUAUUGCUAACUUUUAUAAAUCAAAAUCCUAUUUCAUUAAUAAUACAUAGAAUUAACUGCUUUGAAUCAUAAAAGUUGAAUCGUAUCAGCCAAUCAGACAACCCCCAAUGUUACUCUCUAUGUGACCAAUAUUUAAGCAUCUAACACAGCAACUACUGGGACUAGUCACUUAUAAUUUAUUUGUAGGUAAAAAGGUAAUAAUGGAAGUGAAAAUCAAAAAGUUCAAUUACAUAUUAUUAUGUAUGUAAGUUUGUUUGUAUCCGUAAAGAUUAUCAUACCUCCAGGUGCAUGUUAAAAAGUUGUGAAGAAGGAGUUAAAAAGUACCUACGUAUUUAGAGACAAUGAGAUUAUGUGUGGAGAAAAUUAGUUUUAAUUAAAUAUGAAGGUUAUGUUUUGAGAAAAUGAGGAGUAAAGUAAUAGUUUUUUUUUUGUUUUAUAAAUUAUUUCUUUGUGUGUGUAUAUAUUUGUUUAUUACCAAGGACAAACGUUUUCAAGCCCUUCUUGGGGUAGGUUGAUUUAAUAAAAGAGCAAGGCAAGUUGACUUGUUCAUGAUCAAACUCA
rnacentral:lncRNA from 1 species